UGCAAAAAUUUGAUAUUUUUCAUUCAAAUGCAAUAUUUUUCAUUUAAUUGGUAUAUUUUUUCAUUUAUAUGCAAUAUUUUUUCAUUUAUAUGCAAUAUUUUUUCAUUUGUAUGGUAUAUUUUUUCAUUUAUAUGCAAUAUUUUUUCAUUUAUAUGCAAUAUUUUUUCAUUUAUAUGCAAUAUUUUUCAUUUGUAUGGUAUAUUUUUUCAUUUAAAUGGUAUAAUUUUUCAUUUAUAUGCAAUAUUUUUUAUUUUAAUGGUAUAAUUUUUCAUUCAAAUGGUAUAAUUUGUCAUUCAAAUGCAAUAUUUUUUAUUCAAUUUGUAUAACUUGUCAUUGUAAUGCAAUAUUUUUCAUUCAAUUGGUAUAAUUGUCGUUUUUUUAUUUAUAUGCAAUAAUUUUUAUUUAUAUGCAAUAAUUGCAUUAUGGGAAAUUGUUUGACGUCACAAGGUCAAAUUUGCAACAACGUUUGUGAUUGGUCGAUAUAGUCGGGCAGCCCCUGCUUGACUCGCAUGUUGAAGUUGGCACGUUCUCUAUGAACUCCCCUGGUUUGAUUAGCUGUUGAUAUCUAUAUAUGAGAAGGUUUAUAUGAUGUCAGGUCAUAUAAAGGUUUCACAUAGUGAACUUUGUUAUGAUGCUGAGGUCUUAUUGCCACUUAAAGAAGAUGUUUUGGAGAGGGAGACACUCAAAUCACAGUUUCCUUCAGCAGUGGGUUUGAGGUACCAUGUAGGAGGGGUGUUGAAAGCUGUUGCAGCUGAUACAAGAGGGUUUUCUUCUCCAGAUGGAGGUUGGGGAACAAGAAGAUAUAUUGUUGUAACAACAGCAGAAUGUGCUGGUAUGUACAUUCAUGGUUGGUAGAAAAAUCAAUUAUUUUUUUGUACAACAGAACUACAGGAUGUACAGGUGCUGAGCUCUUUGUAUUGAUGAAACUCAACAAAAAACCUAAUAGCUUGGCAAAGAUCAGUUGCCCACUUUUGUUGCAGAUUGAUGAAAAAAAAGUUCAAUGAAUUAUGUCUCGAACAGGCUCUUUUUAAACCUAUAUAUUUUGAGCAAAUUCUCAUGAAUUUUUUUUGCAAUACUAUCGAAGGAUUUAAAAGUAUUAGUUGAUUGUUCUUUAGGAACUUUGAAAAUAAGAUAUCUGAGUACUAUACGACGACUGUGAGUGAUUUUGAGCUUUCUACUGUUUUGGAAAAUAAGGGUUGAAACAGAUGAUAAAAAGGGUGAAAGGAUUUUUGAUACCUAAUUUAAACUUCAGUACUUUUAGUUGAGUACAUGACGGCCAAAAAAUGUGUUGAAAAAUUAUGGUAUGAUACCGUCUUCAUCUGUGUCUUUAAGUUGGGAUACAUGUACCUGAAGUAAUAUCUUUCCAAAUAAUUGUUUAGUUUAAAAUUUUGUCAUGAUAAUCGCCAACUGCUUUAAUUUUAUCUUUUUAAUUUUACU